GAUGUCUAAAUACAGACAGACAGAUAAACGUCGACGGUCGUCUGUUAGUCGAAGUUCAACUCGUCCUGAGAGUGCAUAUCGAAUAUGAAUUACCUCCGUAUUUUCGUUUUCGUGAAUGCGAUUCUUCUCGUCGAAGGAACGUCGCAAUCUUCGUCCGAAGAUACUCGAAACAAGUGCCUCGUGCACUACAGUCGAAAACAAAUGGUAUACGUGCCCUAUUUCGAGACAUACAAGAUCCGCAAAUGGGGAAUUUUCUAUCAGAUCAAAGAACGAAUGAAUUACAAAAUAGAGUACAAGACCAUAUGGGUCGACGAGAUGGACUGUUGCACUGGUUACCAACAAGUAGGAGGAAGAGUAUGUAAACCAAGGUGCAGUACAUCCUGCGUGAACGCGAUUUGCACCAAACCAGACACGUGCGAGUGCAAACCUGGAUUCAGGCCCUCGCUGGAACCAGGCAGGCAAGAGUACGUCUGCGACCCCUUGUGCGACGGUGAUUGCCCGAACGGUACCUGCGUUGCUCCGAACCAGUGUAAGUGCGACCGCGGUUACUCGUUGCUCGACGAUCUGCACUGCCAACCGAUUUGUAACAUCAACUGCGAACAGUACAACGCACGAUGCACGGCUCCAAAUCAGUGCCAGUGCAAGGAGGGCUAUUUAGACGAAUCAGCAUCCAAUAAUAGCAGCACGCCAGUGUGCACACCGAUUUGUAAUGACUGCAAAAACAGUACUUGCACGGCUCCUCAAGUCUGUACUUGUAACGACGGAUUUGAACACGCAGGCGAGUUUGGUUGCAAACCGCAGUGCGAGAAGGGAUGCUUGAACGGCAAUUGCAUCGCCCCUAACACUUGCGUCUGCGAUCUUGGCUAUCAAUUGAACCACAAUGAAUGCAAGCCGGUUUGCAGUCAGCCGUGCAAGAAGGGCACUUGCAUCGCACCUGAAGUUUGCAGUUGCGACGAAGGUUACGGUUUAAGAGAAUUGAUCGGCGAUGCUAGGUACAUUUGUGAACCGGUCUGCGAGAGGGCUUGUGUAAAUGGUACCUGCACGGCGCCGAACAAUUGUACGUGCUACGAAGGUUACAGGGUCAGUGGUGAUGAUACCAUGAUACACGUGUGCUUACCGGAUUGUGGGAGUAGUUGCGAGAACGGGGAAUGUAUCGCACCGGGAGUCUGCAGAUGUAACGAGGGUUACACUAUGCAUAAUUGUUAUAAUGGAACGCGCGAGAGCGAGACGAAAAUGUGCUCGCCUUGCAAGCUUCCCUGCGAAACUGCUGGGACUCUAUGCGUGGCGCCUGGCGUUUGUGAUAAAUUCGAUAUGGGUGACAACGCCACUUGGCACUGUGAGAGCAUCUGCGAUCCAGCUUGCAUAAAUGGGAGAUGCAUUCGUCCCAACAUUUGCCUUUGCAACAAUGAUUAUGUGCAUACCAAGCAAGGUGUAUGCGAGCCCAUUUGUUCGUCUUGUGACAAUGGUACUUGCAUCGCGCCGAACGUGUGUCAAUGUAAAAAAGGUUUCGUUCUGUUAAACGUAUCCUGCGUGCCGCACUGCGAGAACUGCGAGAAUGGAGAUUGCGUGGCGCCGGACGUGUGCCAAUGUCAUAAUGGAUUCCAGUCAGAUGGGAAUGUAUCUGUGUGCUAUGCGAUGUACAAUAGUACAGACGCGGUAUCCAGGCUAGCUGGCACCUUGGCAGCGGUGACAAUUUUGUUAAUGGCAAUCGCGAGCGCGGUGAUAUACUUGCUGAUACGAAGACACCAGAGGAGACGAAUAGGCGCAGUGCGAAGCGCAGUUCAAGAGUCCAUCGCCACCGAGUCUCUGCUCGAGGAAGAAGAUCAUAUCACGUCGCCUACAAUGGAUUUGUACGGAGCUGGAAGCUAGCAAAAUCAAUCACUAGAAGAGAAAAGUCUUCCUCUUAAAACAAAAAAAAAAACACUUCACGUCCAUCAUUAACCACUUGCACUAUUUUGACGAGUCUGACUCGUGAUGAAAAUUUUAGACCAAACAUGGAUGUCACGAGUCGGGCUCGUUGUUCAGUUCCAGACCAAACAUGAAUAUCAGCCUGACUCGUAAUCGACAUUUCAGGCCGAACAUGAAUAUCAGGAGUCUGACUCAUGGUCUUAGUUUUGGACCAAGUAUGAACAUCUCGAAUGGGAUUGCUUUCAUCUUAUGUAAUAAUCAAAGUAUUUUUUUAAAGUUUUGAAAUUGAUAGGUCUCAAGUUUCGGCAAGCGCGCUCCACCGCUCGCCUCUCACCGUGACAAUCGAGGCAGCUGCGUUUGGCCUGACUUUUCCCGAGGUUACGAAUAGUGCAAGGGGUUAAAUUUGUAAUUUACCGAUGCGUUUUAUAUGUAUAAAGAAGGAACGAACCGUGCCCUGUAAACAACGUGUGACAAACGAAGCCCGAUGACUACAUCAAAUGCGAUUCGCACCCCUACCAUUUGACAUAGCAAUAUCAACAAAAUAUCAAGAGUCUUCGAGAUCCGUCUGCAAGUGGUAAUCACACUGAAAAGGGAGAUCCACUAACGAGGCACGAUAUCGAACCCAGAGAUUUCGAAUAAAAAUUCUCUAUACGCCAAGCGUGUACGCUUUCACUAUUAAUAAAAGACAGCGAUCGAUUCUCGUAGAUCCAUUCUGGGAAGUGGUAACUAUACGACGAGGAGGAUCCCACUCACAAGACGCGAUACGAAAACCAUCGAGACUCGUGCGUUGUCUACG